GACGAACGCUGGCGGCGUGCUUAACACAUGCAAGUCGAACGAAGUGGCGAACGGGUGAGUAACGCGUAAUCAACCUGCCCUUCAGCGGGGGACAACAGUUGGAAACGACUGCUAAUACCGCAUACUGAAGGAGGGGCUUGCGUCUGAUUAGCUAGUUGGAGGGGUAACGGCCCACCAAGGCGAUGAUCAGUAGCCGGUCUGGGAGGAUGAACGGCCACAAUGGGACUGGGAAACGGCCCAGAAUCCUACGGGAGGCAGCAAGGGGGAAUCUUCCGCAAUGGACGAAAGUCUGACGGAGCAACGCCGCGUGAGUGAUGACGGCCUUCGGGUUGUAAAGCUCUGUUAAUCGGGACGCGGUACCGGAAUAGAAAGCCACGGCUAACUACGUGCCAGCCGCCGCGGUAAUUC
rnacentral:rRNA from 1 species